AUGGGAUCUCUAUGGGGUCCCUAUGGAGUCUGUAUGGGAUCUCUAUGGGGUCCUUAUGGGGUCUUUAUGGGGUCUCUGUGGGGUGUCUAUGGGUCUCUAUGGGGUCUGAAUGGGAUCUCUAUGGGGUCCCUAUGGGGUCUGUAUGGGAUCCCUAUGGGGUCUCAGUGGGGUCUCUGUGGGGUGCCUAUGGGUCUCUAUGGGGUCUGUAUGGGAUCUGUAUGGGGUCUCUACGGGGUCUGUAUGGGAUCCCUAUGGGGUCUCAAUGGGGUCUCAGUGGGGUCUCUGUGGGGUCUCUAUGGGGUCUCAAUGGGUCUCUAUGGGGUCUGUAUGGGAUCUCUAUGGAUCUUAUGGGGUCCCUAUGGGGUCCCUACGGGGUCUCUAUGGGAUCUUUAUGGGGUCCCUAUGGGGUUCCUACGGGGUCUCUAUGGGCUCUCUAUGGGAUCUCUAUGGGGUCUUUAUAGGGUCUGUAUGGGGUCCCUCUGGGAUCUCUAUGGGAUUGCUCUGGGAUCCCUAUGGGGUCCCUAUGGGGUCCGUAUGGGGUCGUUAUGGGGUCCGUACGCUGCCCCACGUUCCCCUCUCAUUGUGCCCCAUAGGCAGGCCCGCCCCCCGGUGCCGUUCCGCGAGUCCUACCUGUGGGUCUCUGUUGUCCCUAUGGGGUCCCUAUGGGGUCUCUGUGGGGUGUCUAUGGCUCUCUAUGGGGUCCUUAUGGGGUCCCAAUGGGGUCUCUAUGGGGUCUCAGUGGGGUCUCAAUGGGGUCUCUGUGGGGUGUCUAUGGCUCUCUAUGGGGUCCUUAUGGGGUCCCAAUGGGGUCUCUAUGGGGUCUCAGUGGGAUCUCUAUGGGGUCUCUAUGGGGUCUGUAUGGGAUUUCUAUGGGGUCUCAAUGGGGUCUCUGUGGGGUGUCUAUGGGUCUCUAUGGGGUCUCAGUGGGAUCUCUAUGGUGUCUCUAUGGGGUCCGUAUGGGGUCCCUAUGGGGUCCCUAUGGGAUCUCUAUGGUGUCCCUAUGGGGUCCCUAUGGGAUCUCUAUGGUGUCUCUAUGGGGUCCCUAUGGGGUCUGUAUGGGGUCCCUAUGGGGUCUGUAUGGGGUCCCUAUGGGGUCUGUAUGGGAUCUCUAUGGGGUCUCUAUGGGGUCUGUAUGGGGUCUGUAUUGGGUCUCUAUGGAAUGUCUAUGGGGUCCCUAUGGGGUCCCUACGGGCUCUCUAUGGGGUCCGUAUGGGGUCGUUAUGGGGUCGUUAUGGGGUCCGUACGCCGCCCCACGUUCCCCUCUCAUUGUGCCCCAUAGGCAGGCCCGCCCCCCGGUGCCGUUCCGCGAGUCCUACCUGUCCCCCCUGCAAUCCGUGA
rnacentral:lncRNA from 1 species